UACGUAGGGGGCUAGCGUUGUCCGGAAUCAUUGGGCGUAAAGCGCGUGUAGGCGGUCCGGUAAGUCCGCUGUGAAAGUCGGGGGCUCAACCCUCGGAUGCCGGUGGAUACUGUCGGGCUUGAGUACGGAAGAGGCGAGUGGAAUUCCUGGUGUAGCGGUGAAAUGCGCAGAUAUCAGGAGGAACACCAAUGGCGAAGGCAGGUCUCUGGGCCACUACUGACGCUGAGAAGCGAAAGCAUGGGGAGCGAACAGG
rnacentral:rRNA from 1 species